UGCGCAGGCGGUCUUGCAAGCUGGGUGUGAAAGCCCCGGGCUCAACCUGGGAGGUGCAUUCAGGACUGUGAGGCUUGGAGUGCGGCAGAGGGAGGUGGAAUUCCACGUGUAGCAGUGAAAUGCGUAGAGAUGUGGAGGAACACCGAUGGCGAAGGCAGCCUCCUGGGCCGACACUGACGCUCAUGCACGAAAGCGUGGGGAGCAAACAGGAUUAGAUACCCUGGUAGUCCACGCCCUAAACGAUGUCGACUGGUUGUUGGGGAAGGCAACUUCCUUAGUAACGAAGCUAACGCGUGAAGUCGACCGCCUGGGGAGUACGGCCGCAAGGUUAAA
rnacentral:rRNA from 1 species